GACUGUGAACCAAUGUUGCUCCCAUAGAAAAACGUAAACAAAUGCUUCUGUUGAAUCUGAGGUUAGGGGUGACAUCGUUUCACAGCCUGGGUGCAGCUCAAACAACUCAACGUUACAAGUGCAACAAGUAAACCAAUCACUAAAUCCUAAUGUCAAUGACAAUAGUGAGUUUUUAUGCCAUAAUUCGGAUACUGAUUCCAUAGCAGACGACCAUGAAUUUGAAGAGUCAGGCUACAGCUAAUGUCCUCUACAAUCUGAAUUGGCAUUAUUUGGACACAAAAAAUAGAAAAAUUUUCCUUAUGAUGCUGACGCAAUGUCAGCAAAUUGCAGUGAUCUCCAUUGGACCGUUUGGGCCAAUGUCAAUCAAUUCAGUUAUAUCUGUUAUCAAAGCUGCAUACUCUUACAUGAUGGUGAUGCAGUCAUACAAAUAGUUGAAUACAUUUAAGCUUAAGCAUCUAGUAAAAGUUGUUUUCGAAUAAGUAUGACCACAUGCUUAACGGUAAUAUGCCAGAACAUAAAGCGCCCUAAUUUUUUUGUUGUAAUGCAAUAAAUGAUUGGAAGAUAUCAUCAAGACACCAACAAGCAUUAUUUUCUUUUCUUAAGUUAUCUCUUUGAUUCUCUAUUAGUUUCAUAUUUGGUCAUAUUGUUUCAUUACUCACAAUGUCUGAUUUGGAAAUUCGAAAAUUAAGAUCUUAUAAAUUUCCAAAUUUGUCAAGAUUCCUUGUUGCACUUUUUUUUAUGGUCAUUUUUCGUUGCAUUUGAAGAACGUCAAAUGAACGAGUAGAGCGAUUUUAAGAUUAUAUAAAAAUAUAUUAAUGUAUUGAAAAUACUUAUAAAUAGUUAGUAAAAUAAAUUUUAAAUGUACACAAUACACUAACUAGAUUAAUUCAACAACAAAAACAGAAAUAGCAGAUUCUCUAGAAGAAAGUGAUACACAAUUAAUAGUGCAGGAACCACAAAUAUAAUAAAUUCAAAAGAUAAGUUAGUAA